rnacentral:rRNA from 1 species
AUGACCUAUACAGGGGAGAAAGCCUCAGACACUCCACCUGGUGAGACACCCAAGGCUGGCAUACAAAGCAAAGAAAAAGUGGACGCACAAAUAGAUAUCCCAACCACCAGCGCAAAGGAAACAAACGAUGAUGACCAUGCCAAAGAACAUCAAGGAGUACAGACAGAACAAACCAAAAAACAAGGGCAAAUGCUGACUAAAACGGUACCCAGUACACCAUCAUCAAAGACCAACGAGAUGCAAGAAACAGGGGAGAGCACCAACAUUCAAGGCAAACAAACACAACAACACAGGGGAAUGGAACAAGCAGAAGAUGUUCUUCCAACAACAGACAGCCUAACCACCGUAGACCAAGCCGGAAAACCUUCGCUGUCCGGGCAAGAAAUAACAGAGAUGGCAAUGUUGACGCAAAACAUCGAAAAGCUACAAGACAAAAACGACGACACCACGGAGGUCCAAAAAGCUCAACCCACCAAAGAAAAGGUCGAAGAGGCAGCACCGGCAGAAACGACUGAAAAGAAACCUCAACAGGACACGCACGCAGACACAAUUAAAGAAGCAAAGGGCCACAGUGCAUUGGAAAACCAUGCGUCAAACAUUCCAGUGAAAGAGUCAGACAGCAACGAGAAAAAGGCCACACCAUCAGACAAGAAACAUUGUGUUGUAAAAGAUGUUGCCGCCACAAACAUGGCGGUAACCCAGGGCAGCACUCAAACAAAACGUGAACCGUUGAUCAUACAAAACCUGGCCAUCGAAGAAGGGACAAAAGACAAAGGGAUCGAACACCUGUACAACAACGUCAUGACAGCAAAUAAGGACAAAGGGCACGAGAUUUUAAUAAAUACAGAGACGACAACAGUAACAGUCAGCCACAUGGCACAAAGCUUCGACAUUGGAAAUCAAGUGCGCAGUGAAACCAUGGCAGUCAUGCUACAGAUGUUGAAAAAGCAACUCAGGGGCACAAAAAGAAAGAUUCUAUCAACAUACAACAUCGGAUCAAUACGCACGGCCAACCAUGAAGAUCCAUUCGAGUUGAAAAAUAAAGACGAAGCACACAUCAGAGACAAGACAAUUCCUAAAAGGCUUAAAAGAUUCCUUGAUCUGGAAGAAGGAGAGAAACUACAAGAUUUCGACAUGGAACAAGUACCAGAGUUGAGAAAGAAAAUUCUCUAUCAAAUAUUCUGCCAAUACAGAGAUACGGCCGCACUGUCAUUAAUCAACUACACCGCAGAUAUGCUGAAACCUAAGGUCGAUAUGGAAGACAGUGAAAUGGAACGAAUACAUUGUGACAUAAUUCAACAAGAGAUUCCUCCAACUCCCGAGCAAAUUGGGACAAGCGCUCAAGAGAUAAAAGUCAUUGACAUUAAUGACACAAGCAACAAUGAGGAGAAAGAAGAUUAUCAUUUGAGCGGCAAGGAUACCGCCAAGGUGUCUGAAGAAGCACUCAUGGAAGAACAAGCCCAGAAAGAUCCUGGUUUACAUAGGGAACAACACGCGUAG